CGGGUGAGUAACGCGUAGGUAAUCUACCCCAGAGUCUGGAAUAACCUGCCGAAAGGCGGGCUAAUACUGGAUAGAGCGACGGAAUCCGUAAUUGGGUUUUUCGGGAAAGGGAGGAAGCAAUUCCCUUCGCUCUGGGAUGAGCCUGCGUCUCAUUAGCUAGUUGGUGGGGUAAAGGCCCACCAAGGCAUUGAUGAGUAGCUGGUCUGAGAGGAUGAUCAGCCACACUGGAACUGAAACACGGUCCAGACUCC
rnacentral:rRNA from 1 species